rnacentral:rRNA from 1 species
CGCGAUUGGAUGAACCUAGGUGGGAUUAGCUAGUAGGUGAGGUAAUGGCUCACCUAGGCGACGAUCCCUAGCUGUUCUGAGAGGAUGAUCAGCCACACUGGGACUGAGACACGGCCCAGACUCCUACGGGAGGCAGCAGUGGGGAAUAUUGCACAAUGGGCGCAAGCCUGAUGCAGCCAUGCCGCGUGUGUGAAGAAGGCCUUCGGGUUGUAAAGCACUUUCAGCGAGGAGGAAAGGUUAAGUGUUAAUAGCACUUAGCUGUGACGUUACUCGCAGAAGAAGCACCGGCUAACUUCGUGCCAGCAGCCGCGGUAAUACGAGGGGUGCAAGCGUUAAUCGGAAUUACUGGGCGUAAAGCGUACGCAGGCGGUUUGUUAAGCGAGAUGUGAAAGCCCCGGGCUCAACCUGGGAACUGCAUUUCGAACUGGCAAACUAGAGUCUUGUAGAGGGGGGUAGAAUUUCAGGUGUAGCGGUGAAAUGCGUAGAGAUCUGAAGGAAUACCGGUGGCGAAGGCGGCCCCCUGGACAAAGACUGACGCUCAGGUACGAAAGCGUGGGGAGCAAACAGGAUUAGACACCCUGGUAGUCCACGCCGUAAACGAUGUCUACUCGGAAUUUGGUGCCUU